rnacentral:rRNA from 1 species
AUGGCUCUACCAAUCCACUUCAUGUCAGUUCUGCCGUUGCCGGCAUGGGCGCUGAAAAUUAUUAACAGGAGGUGUCGCGGAUUUUUAUGGAAGGGUGAUAGUGAUAUCAAUGGCGGCCAUUGUCUCCUACCAUGGUCGAGGGUGUGCAUGCCCAAGGAGUGUGGGGGUUUGGGCGUUUUGAACCUCAAGUGCUUUGGCUAUGCCCUCCGCUGCUGUUGGCCUUGUUUAAGGUGGGAGGAUGAGGAGAGGCCAUGGAAUCUACUGCCGGAGGAUCUGGAAAAGGAGGUCUCUUACAUCUUUAAGGCGGCCACUUCUAUCCACUUGGGGGACGGCAAGAGGGCUAAAUUCUGGACGGACAAGUGGCUGCCAGGAGGGAACAGCAAUUGGAUUAGGGAUAUCUCUGGAGGCAUUUCGGUACAGGCUAUGGCUCAAUAUCUUAAAAUUUGGGACAUUGCGCGAAGUACUUCAUUGUCGGUGGAAGCUACAGAUAGACUGGAUUGGAAGUGGACUGGAGAUCACAAAUUCUCUGUUAGUAGUGCGUAUGGUUUGUUCUUUGCAGCGAAUGUGCGCUCUGCAUGCCAUGGGCCGAUUUGGAAAUCCAAAGCACCACCAAGACGCAAAUUUUUUAUGUGGCUUGUCGUCCACCGUAGGUGUUUAACAACGGAUAAUCUGGAACGCAUGGGUUGGCCUUCUAAUGGAUCUUGCCCGCUAUGCCUCUCGGCACACGAAGAUUGCACACAUCUGUUUGUGCACUGCUGUUUCUCUCAGCAGGUUUGGAUAAAAUUCAGGGAUUGGACGAGGGCAGCCUUUCAAACUCCAGAUGGUAGCUUUGGUACUACGGAGGACUGGUGGCUGAAUACGAGGAAGGAAGUCCCUAAGAUGGAACGACGUAAUUUGGACACUAUCGCAAUCCUGCUACACUGGAGGAUUUGGAAAGAACGGAAUGCUCGGAUCUUUGAGCGUGGCUAG